GACGAACGCUGGCGGCGUGCUUAACACAUGCAAGUCGAACGGAAAGGCCCUGCUUUUGUGGGGUGCUCGAGUGGCGAACGGGUGAGUAACACGUGAGUAACCUGCCCUUGACUUUGGGAUAACUUCAGGAAACUGGGGCUAAUACCGGAUAGGAGCUCCUGCUGCAUGGUGGGGGUUGGAAAGUUUCGGCGGUUGGGGAUGGACUCGCAGCUUAUCAGCUUGUUGGUGGGGUAGUGGCUUACCAAGGCUUUGACGGGUAGCCGGCCUGAGAGGGUGACCGGCCACAUUGGGACUGAGAUACGGCCCAGACCCCUACGGGAGGCAGCAGUGGGGAAUAUUGCACAAUGGGCGGAAGCCUGAUGCAGCAACGCCGCGUGCGGGAUGACGGCCCUCGGGUUGUAAACCGCUUUCGCCUGUGACGAAGCGUGAGUGACGGUAAUGGGUAAAGAAGCACCGGCUAACUACGUG
rnacentral:rRNA from 1 species